rnacentral:rRNA from 1 species
CCUACGGGAGGCAGCAGUGGGGAAUUUUGGACAAUGGGCGCAAGCCUGAUCCAGCCAUUCCGCGUGCAGGAUGAAGGCCCUCGGGUUGUAAACUGCUUUUGUACGGAACGAAACGGCGACCGCUAAUACCGGUUGCUAAUGACGGUACCGUAAGAAUAGGCCC